rnacentral:rRNA from 1 species
UUGUUUUUAUUUGAUGUUAAGAUUAAGGGGGAUUAGCUCCUUGUUUUAUUCUUAUAAUUGGUUUAGGUUAGAUUUAGUUUUGUGGAUUUUAUGGUGAUUUUCUAUUUGAUUAUGUUAAAAUUUUAUUUGUUCUUUUUUUGAUUUUUUUGUUGUUUAAGUUAUUUAUUGGAAUGUUUUCUUUAUUUUGGUUUGUAUGGUAAUUAUUGUGUAAUUAGUAAAUUUUGUUUAUUGUUUUGUAUGUUGAGAUGAGGUGUUAAUUACUUUUGAGGAAUUAGGCAAAGUUUUUAUGUCCGCCUGUUUAACAAAAACAUCUUUUCUUGUUAGUUUUUGAAGUAUGGCCUGCCCACUGACUGAUUGUUGAAGGGCCGCGGUAUUUUGACCGUGCAAAGGUAGCAUAAUCAUUAGUUCUUUAAUUGUGAUCUGGUAUGAAUGGCUUGACGAGACAUGAGCUGUCUUAGGGGUAUUGUUUAUUGAAUUUGGUUUCUGAGUUAAAAUUCUUAGAUGUUUUUAUGGGACGAGAAGACCCUAUAGAGUUUGACAUUUGUUCUUAUUUGUUUAGUUGUUUGUUUUGUUUUUAUUGAGUGGGAAUGGAUGUUUUGUUGGGGUGAUAGGAGGAAUUUAUUUAACUCCUCUUUGUUUUACGUAUAUUUAUUUAUA